rnacentral:sRNA from 1 species
GCCAGGCGUGGUGGCGCAUGCCUGGAAUCCCAGCAGCUUGGGAAGCUGAGACAGGAGGAUCAUGAAUUCAAAGUGAGCCUCAGCAAUUUAGCAAGGCCCUAAGCAACUCAGUGAGACCUUGUCUCUA